GCGGUUCCGGUGUUCAGGAUGCCAGGGAUGAUGGGAAGCCUGUUCUUGUUUAUCGGUUUGUACGGAACUUCACCCGCGGUAGAGUACGGCCUGAGAAUUUUGUUCCAGCACCGGUGUGAGGAAAACAUCUGAGCCCAUGAAUUGCCAGACCCUGGAUACCUGAGACACAUCCACUUGCUUCUCAGGUUUGGAGUGCAUAAUGAGGAGAAAUAAAAACAGAAAGAUCUCCAGAAAGAAGCCAUGGGUGGAGAACAGAGGGCGACUAGAUUAAAUGGAAAGAAUGCCCAGGCAUCCCAUUGCCUCCCUUUGACGUUCCAGAACUUCAUCAAGACAGUGAUGAGCUACAUGUACACCUGGAGGAGAGUUCAGGAUCAAGCUCAGAAGCGCACAGCUGCCAGCAAGCAGUCUACUACUGAACUGCACCAUCUCUCCAGCCUGUGCUUACUCUUGAAUAGCCCCAAAGUAGUCAAUGGUAUGGCAAAAUAAACCUCCAUUUCAUUUAGAUUUUUAUAGUAUUUUUUGCCACUUAAAUUAUUUUAUGUAGUUGAGUAUGAUUUUUUUUCCCCCUAAGGAAUUCUAUGUAUCUCAAUUUCAAGAGUCUUCAGCCUUUAUGUUAUACAUAAUUUCCUAUAGAUUUCAAAGUUGCUUUAAUAAAAAGUUUAAUGUUAAAACAGU
rnacentral:lncRNA from 1 species